GGAAGUUCCCACGCCAGGGAUCAAAUUUGAGCCACAACUGCAACCUACUCUAUGCCACAGCUGCAGCAAUAAUGCUGGAUCCUUAACCCACUGCGAGGGCCAGGGAUUGAACCCAUGCUGCCACAGAGAUGACAACACCAUAUUCUUAAACCACUGCAUGGCAGCAGGAACUCCUCCCAUUUGAUUCUUUUCUUUUUAGAAUCUAUUUUUUGGGGGGAGACAAAACUAUUUUUGUCAGCCAACUUCUUCCUGUAUCUUCCCACAAAUGUCCCAGAAGUAAAAUGGGCUGCCAGGGCAACUCAAGUUUUAGAUGACUGAAAGAGAAGCAGAGAAUCACAGAUAAUUAGAAGAGAUUAUUUAAUCCUAAGUGUAUCCUCCUAGGUCACAGAGUAAAACUGUACUAAAUCUGUGAUGAAACAAAAAUGAUUUUCACCUAAAAAUAAAAUAAUAUGUUUAAGAAAAUCAGUAAGAGCACAAUACUCCACAGAUAGGUGUCACUUAUUUUAGCUGCAGCUUUGGGACAGCAAUGAUUUCUCUCUGUACUGCUGUUUAUUCUUUGAAUUAAUUUGGCCCAUUUCUGCAUGUUCCCAAACUUCUCUCUUAGGAUGCUACUGAAUUAAGGUACCAGAAGCUCGACUGGACUGGGGGAUUGGAAUGGAUGGGGCCAGCCUGAAGUUUUCUGAAACUGAGCAGGUGAAAAUAAAACUGAAUUUCAGGUCAUGGCAGACUCAAGGAAGCGAGACAGAAGCUUAAGUAUUGGGUCUCUGGGAGCAAGAGAGAGCAAACGAUGGAUUCUGAGUGAAAGGUCAGCAAAAGAUAACAUGUGUAAAGGAGCAAGCAAGAGGUUAGAUAGAGCUUGAAAAAAAAUCCACUGAUGCUAAAUAUAGAUUUUUUUUUUUACAGGGCAUCUGUGAACAAUCCUAAAAGGUAGCUGAGAUGGAAGGAAAGGCAUUAAGGGACUGAGCCAUAUCAGACAGCAGGGAUGAAAUUCAGGGUACAUAUUUCACUGAAGGUAACUUAAAAAAGUCAAGAUCUCUCUAAAAUAAUUAUUCCUCAAAGCGUGGUCUAGUAACCUCAUGCAUCAAUAUCUCUUUACCUAGGGGUGCUUGACAAAAGGCAGAUGUUGGACCUACUUGGUUUUUAUUAUCAGCACUCAGCACCUCUGUUCGUUAUGGUGCAUUCUGCAGUGGGAAAUGAGUACUUUCAAUUAUGAAUUGAGCACAGAUGACUUUCAGCCCUAGACCAAUUAAGGACACCAAUGAAGAAAAACAACCCUACAGAGUUUUAUUCUAUGUGCUAGAUCACUCCAUAGCUACCAUGUGGGAUAGGGUAAAAGGUCACAUUUUGCAAGCAUAGCCCUUUGGACCAUGUGCUUCUCUUCCACUGGAAAUAUUUUUCAUCUGUUGCAAACUCAGUGACACUGCUCUGCUGUGAAAGGAUGAAAUGUAAUACUAUGAUUUCAUCUCAGAAAACUAAAAAUACCAGAUUCAGUUCUACUUGUGAUUGCUGUGGAGUUUCCAGGUGUUGCACCUGAGGGUUGUUGAGGCCCUUAGUCCUCAUGGCAGGUAGAAAGUACUGCCAUAACAGCCAAGAAUUCAGGAUUAUGAUAUACAGUCAAUCUUCAUAUGACAUCAAAUAGGUGGUUUGAUUAAACACCUGGUUUUGGGCAGAAACACUUAAAUGGCAAUGAUCUCAAUUUGGGAAGCAAACUAGGAGACCUAGUGGAGAACACAAGAGCUUGAAUAUAAGCUCAGAACGUGAGCCAUGGGUUUAGAUGUGUUUUAUUUGGGUCACAUCUGGAGGGCAGGUCAACUAUUCCAUUCUGAUGCCAAGCACAGAGGCUGUGCCCUGUUGUUUCUUACUCUGCAUCCUAAAAAGCCCUUGGGUCAAUCCAGAGUAAAUGCUAUGUGUGUGUAUGUGCAUGUAUACAUGCAUGCAUAUAAUCAGGAGGAAAUGCUGCCUUGAUGGAUUGCACAGCCAUGCUACUGGGGAUGAGGAAGGAGCAGUUGUGCUAAGCUGGUUCAUUGGGCAUGCUCCAGAGCCAUGGUCAUAAUUUACACUUUCCCUCUCACUAUUCACAUCAAGGGGGUAGCCCUAUAGGGAGGACCAUUACUCAUUCUACCAUGAGAAUGUUCCAAGAAGGGCACCCACAGGGCCUACUGGAUCUGGCUAGCUGUGAGCCUUCUCCUUCAGCCUUUCUAAUGAGCAUGGAAAUCUGUUCUGGCUAAAAAACAAAACAAAACAAACAAAAGAAAAAAACUUGGAGGUUCAAAGGUCCCACACAAGGGCCUAUGUGUGAAACAUGUCAGCGCAGAGCAUUUUUAUUGCAUAAUCAUUCCAUUUGCUUCUAUUUGUUGGUUCAGUUGAAUGAUGUGGAGGCAAAACACAUAUUUGAGGAGACAGACACUCUUACUUAAAGCAUAAGAAGUUUCUUUCACUCUUCCUUGCUUCCACCUUCCUGAGUUUGACCCCCUCUGAGGAGCAUUUUAAAAGGCAAGGAACAGAGAAGUCUACUGACAGAUGGUGUAUGUUUGAAGGCAGAAAGUGAAAGACAAUCCAAAUGAGAAGUGAACUCUUCUACUCUUCCUUUGUUCUCUGGUCAAUGGAAUAAUGCUGCUGCCAUCACACAUCAUGUCACACAUAAUGAGGACCUAAUCGCACGUAAUGCCAGACCUUAGAAAUGACGGUGAGGUGGGCAAAUGUAAGGAGAUAAAAGUGGUCUCUGCUUAGAGAAAAAUUCUGUGUUGUUAGAGGAAGGGUUUGUAGGUGUGGAAAAGAACAGCAAGGGGAACUGUGUCAAUACAUCCUACUCUGACCCUGACCUUAAAUCCUGACCCAUGUCAGGAACAAAGGACUCAUGAUUCCUUUAAAAAAAGCAAUUGGGUGAUUCUGACAUGAAGCCCCAUGUAUGGAAAGAAAGAUGACUUUUCAACAAAUGCAAAUAUUUUGUUUCUCAACUGGAGGUAGACUGACCUGAAACUGAUGUGAGGCUAUAUACAACUUAGCAUGACUAUGCAUAUUUUUCCCUUCAGAAUUAUAAAUGUGCUAGAUUAUGAAAUGCUGACCCAGACUCAGCUGGGGAUGUUACAUAAUAUUUUCUUGACCACAUUUCUUUUCUAAAAUCAGAAGAAUUCCUAAUCCUCAAGCAUUUUUGACCCAAAUAGUUUCUGAUGAGAAGUUUUAGGCCUAUACUAUAUGUCAAUUCCAACAUUACAUGUAGAUGACACACAGUGUGCAAAGCAUCCUGUCCUCUUGAAGGCCAUCCUUCCCUAGAGAGUGUUUAUUCUUGAAGGACUGACAGCCAAUAAUCAGAUAAGUAUAGCUAAGUUUAUCUUUUCUUUUUUCUUUUCAGCUGUACUUGUGGCAUGGAAGUUCUGGGACAGGAAUGGAAUCCAAGCUGAGGCUACAACCUAUGCCACAACUGUGGCAACAUGGGAUCCUUAACCCACUGUGCUGGGCCAGGGAUCAAACCAGUGCCUCCACAGAGAAAAACCUGAUUACUAACCCACUGUGUUACAGCAGGAACUCCUAACUUUCUCUUUUGAAUAAUAGACUUUAUUUUUAGGACAGAAAUAGCAUUACAGAAAAACUGAGUAAAAAGCACAUAAAGUUCAUAUAUACACACUUUCUCCCCUGCUCACAUUUUUUCCUAUUCUUAAUAUCUUGCUUUAGUGUGGCACAUUUGUUGUAACUCAUGAGCCAAUGGACACAUUAUUAUCAACUAAAAGUUCAUAGUAUGCAACAGGGUCCACUCUGUGUGGUAUAAUUGUGUGAAUUUUGGCAAAUGUAUCAUAAGAUGUAUUCAUCAUUACACUAUCACACAGAAUAGCUUAUUGUCCUAAAAAUCUCUGUGCUCCACUAUAGCUAACUCUUUCAUUUAUAUUCAAAUACAUUACUACUUACCCAUGAGAACAAAUAAGAGUAUAGAAACACACAUAUAUAUAUAACUGUUUGGUUUUGGCUAAAGAAGUCUAAAUGAGAUAUGCGGGUCAU
ensembl:lncRNA